rnacentral:lncRNA from 1 species
UUUUUUUAUUUCUUUUUGGCUCCAAACUAUUUCCUAGAAAAUAGUGAAUAUAUUUGUGGGGCCUAUUUGGAUUAUUUCCACGCUCCACAAAGUAUUUCAACUUUUUAUAACACCAUGGAAAAUUUAUAACAAAUUGUUUGGGUAUUUAUCAGUGGCUUCUGUGGUUUCAUUAAAACGCCAAAUGUAUUUUAAAAAUAAUAUCCAC